ACGUAGGGUGCGAGCGUUAAUCGGAAUUACUGGGCGUAAAGCGUGCGCAGGCGGUUUUGUACGUUCGAUGUGAAAGCCCCGGGCUUAACCUGGGAACUGCGUUGAAAACGGCAAGACUAGAGUGUGUCAGAGGGGGGUAGAAUUCCACGUGUAGCAGUGAAAUGCGUAGAGAUGUGGAGGAAUACCGAUGGCGAAGGCAGCCCCCUGGGAUAACACUGACGCUCAGGCACGAAAGCGUGGGGAGCAAACAGGAUUAGAUACCCUGGUAGUCCACGCCCUAAACGAUGUCAACUAGUUGUUGGGUGACUUGUUCACUUAGUAACGUAGCUAACGCGAGAAGUUGACCGCCUGGGGAGUACGGUCGCAAGAUUA
rnacentral:rRNA from 1 species